GCCAGAUGUGCAUCUAAACACUGCCCCACCCACUUCAUCCAUUAUAUAAAAAAAAAAAAGACACACGUCUGGACAGCUAUACAACAUGUUCUUUUUCCUUCUGCUAUUAGAUAAGGUCAUGAUUCAGACCUAUCUGGGCAUGCCUGGAGUCCGGUUGGGAUAGGCCUUCUGGAAUUCUAUUGAUAAGACAAGUCGUCUCCAGGAGUUAGUCCCAGUGGAAGAAAGAACCAAGGUACAAAGGUUGCAUGAAGGGCAACAGAUGGGGUUGAAAGUAUCUGAGUAUAUCAUG
rnacentral:lncRNA from 1 species